AACAGGAUUAGAUACCCUGGUAGUCCACGCCGUAAACGAUGUCGACUUGGAGGCUGUUCCCUUGAGGAGUGGCUUCCGGAGCUAACGCGUUAAGUCGACCGCCUGGGGAGUACGGCCGCAAGGUUAAAACUCAAAUGAAUUGACGGGGGCCCGCACAAGCGGUGGAGCAUGUGGUUUAAUUCGAUGCAACGCGAAGAACCUUACCUACUCUUGACAUCCAGAGAACUUUCCAGAGAUGGAUUGGUGCCUUCGGGAACUCUGAGACAGGUGCUGCAUGGCUGUCGUCAGCUCGUGUUGUGAAAUGUUGGGUUAAGUCCCGCAACGAGCGCAACCCUUAUCCUUUGUUGCCAGCGAUUCGGUCGGGAACUCAAAGGAGACUGCCGGUGAUAAACCGGAGGAAGGUGGGGAUGACGUCAAGUCAUCAUGGCCCUUACGAGUAGGGCUACACACGUGCUACAAUGGCGCAUACAAAGAGAAGCGACCUCGCGAGAGCAAGCGGACCUCAUAAAGUGCGUCGUAGUCCGGAUCGGAGUCUGCAACUCGACUCCGUGAAGUCGGAAUCGCUAGUAAUCGUGGAUCAGAAUGCCACGGUGAAUACGUUCCCGGGCCUUGUACACACCGCCCGUCACACCAUGGGAGUGGGUUGCAAAAGAAGUAGGUAGCUUAACCUUCGGGAGGGCGCUUACCACUUUGUGAUUCAUGACUGGGGUGAAGUCGUAACAAGGUAGC
rnacentral:rRNA from 1 species